AGUAUAGCAAUUAUACCGCGAAACUGCGAAUGGCUCAUUAUAUAAGUUAUCGUUUAUUUGAUAGUACCUUACUACUUGGAUAACCGUGGUAAUUCUAGAGCUAAUACAUGCUAAAAAUCCCGACUUCGGAAGGGAUGUAUUUAUUAGAUUAAAAACCAAUGCCCUUCGGGGCUCACUGGUGAUUCAUGAUAACUCCUCGAAUCGCAUGGCCUUGUGCCGGCGAUGGUUCAUUCAAAUUUCUUCCCUAUCAACUUUCGAUGUUUGGGUAUUGGCCAAACAUGGUUGCAACGGGUAACGGAGGGUUAGGGCUCGACCCCGGAGAAGGAGCCUGAGAAACGGCUACUACAUCCAAGGAAGGCAGCAGGCGCGCAAAUUACCCAAUCCCGACACGGGGAGGUAGUGACAAUAAAUACUGAUACAGGGCUCUUUUGGGUCUUGUAAUUGGAAUGAGUACAAUUUAAAUCCCUUAACGAGGAACAAUUGGAGGGCAAGUCUGGUGCCAGCAGCCGCGGUAAUUCCAGCUCCAAUAGCGUAUAUUAAAGUUGUUGUGGUUAAAAAGCUCGUAGUUGAACCUUGGGCCUGGCUGGCCGGUCCGCCUCACCGCGUGUACUGGUCCGGCCGGGCCUUUCCCUCUGUGGAACCCCAUGCCCUUCACUGGGUGUGGCGGGGAAACAGGACUUCUACUGUGAAAAAAUUAUAGUGCACCAGGCAGUCCUGCGCUCUCAUACAUUAGGCAUGGGAAUGAAUAAAAUAGGACGUGUGGUUCGAUUUUUGUUGGUUUCCAUGACCGCCAUCAUGAUUUAUAG
rnacentral:rRNA from 1 species